CCAGUGAUGAACGUAAUUUGCGUAUGAACUAGCAGACAUCAUUUGUGUUCUCGUCUCUAGCUUUGAUCGAUCAUUUAUUGUCUCUGAG
rnacentral:snoRNA from 16 species